rnacentral:rRNA from 1 species
UCCGUAGGUGAACCUGCGGAGGGAUCAUUACUGAGUUUACGCUCUACAACCCUUUGUGAACAUACCUAUAACUGUUGCUUCGGCGGGUAGGGUCUCCGCGACCCUCCCGGCCUCCCGCCCCCGGGCGGGUCGGCGCCCGCCGGAGGAUAACCAAACUCUGAUUUAACGACGUUUCUUCUGAGUGGUACAAGCAAAUAAUCAAAACUUUUAACAACGGAUCUCUUGGUUCUGGCAUCGAUGAAGAACGCAGCGAAAUGCGAUAAGUAAUGUGAAUUGCAGAAUUCAGUGAAUCAUCGAAUCUUUGAACGCACAUUGCGCCCGCCAGCAUUCUGGCGGGCAUGCCUGUUCGAGCGUCAUUUCAACCCUCAAGCUCUGCUUGGUGUUGGGGCCCUACAGCUGAUGUAGGCCCUCAAAGGUAGUGGCGGACCCUCCCGGAGCCUCCUUUGCGUAGUAACUUUACGUCUCGCACUGGGAUCCGGAGGGACUCUUGCCGUAAAACCCCCCAAUUUUCCAAAGGUUGACCUCGGAUCAGGUAGGAAUACCCGCUGAACUUAAGCAUAUCA